GGAAGACUAUAGCUCAGUGGUGGAACAUCUGCUUUGCAUGCAGAAGGCGCCAGGUUCAAUCUUCCCUAGCACCUCCA